rnacentral:sRNA from 1 species
UUCUUCAGAACACACCACGGAUCUGUGUCCAGCGAUCCCGUUCACGGAGCCAUUUCUCUCACGAGGAGUGGUCUUUGUGUUUCGGUUGAUUGCUGGACAGUUCGACGACUUAAGGAGCCACUGAUUCUUUGUGCUUGGUGGUUUGAUUUCCGGUCGACAGAUCUCAGAUUAAAGGUCGGCGCUGGGUGUUCACUCCGGUCUUGAGCUCCCUUUCCUUUUCCCCUCUGGGGAGGGAUCGGUGAGCUCGGCUGGAGGUCCUGGUUGUCUGACGGCGUCAUAUUCCUAGUCUCUUCACCGACUGGCCGUUGGCUAGUGAGGUCAGGGAAAAACCAUGACAGGCCAACAUUC